rnacentral:piRNA from 1 species
UGAGGAUUUGUGGACUUCUGUCAUUAGGC